GGGGAUUUAGCUCAGUGGUAGAGCGCUUACCUAGGAAGCACAAGACCCUGGGUUCGGUCCCCAGCUCCA
rnacentral:tRNA from 1 species